GAUGAACGCUGGCGGCGUGCCUAAUACAUGCAAGUCGAGCGAACAGAUAAGGAGCUUGCUCCUUUGACGUUAGCGGCGGACGGGUGAGUAACACGUGGGUAACCUACCUAUAAGACUGGGAUAACUUCGGGAAACCGGAGCUAAUACCGGAUAACAUUUGGAACUGCAUGGUUCUAAAGUGAAAGAUGGUUUUGCUAUCACUUAUAGAUGGACCCGCGCCGUAUUAGCUAGUUGGUAAGGUAACGGCUUACCAAGGCGACGAUACGUAGCCGACCUGAGAGGGUGAUCGGCCACACUGGAACUGAGACACGGUCCAGACUCCUACGGGAGGCAGCAGUAGGGAAUCUUCCGCAAUGGGCGAAAGCCUGACGGAGCAACGCCGCGUGAGUGAUGAAGGGUUUCGGCUCGUAAAACUCUGUUAUUAGGGAAGAACAAAUGUGUAAGUAACUGUGCACGUCUUGACGGUACCUAAUCAGAAAGCCACGGCUAACUACGUG
rnacentral:rRNA from 1 species